GUUUAAUUCGACGCAACGCGAAAAACCUUACCUACCCUUGACAUGCCUGGAAUCCUGCAGAGAUGUGGGAGUGCUCGAAAGAGAGCCAGGACACAGGUGCUGCAUGGCCGUCGUCAGCUCGUGUCGUGAGAUGUUGGGUUAAGUCCCGCAACGAGCGCAACCCUUGUCAUUAGUUGCUACGAAAGGGCACUCUAAUGAGACUGCCGGUGACAAACCGGAGGAAGGUGGGGAUGACGUCAGGUCAUCAUGGCCCUUAUGGGUAGGGCUACACACGUCAUACAAUGGCCGGUACAGAGGGCUGCCAACCCGCGAGGGGGAGCCAAUCCCAGAAAACCGGUCGUAGUCCGGAUCGCAGUCUGCAACUCGACUGCGUGAAGUCGGAAUCGCUAGUAAUCGCGGAUCAGCUUGCCGCGGUGAAUACGUUCCCGGGUCUUGUACACACCGCCCGUCACACCAUGGGAGCGGGUUCUGCCAGAAGUAGUUAGCCUAACCGCAAGGGGGGCGAUUACCACGGCAGGGUUCGUGACUGGGGUGAAGUCGUAACAAGGUAGCCGUAUCGGAAGGUGCGGCUGGAUCACCUCCUU
rnacentral:rRNA from 1 species